rnacentral:rRNA from 1 species
AGGCCUAACACAUGCAAGUCGAACGGUAACAUGAAAGAGCUUGCUCUUUUGAUGACGAGUGGCGGACGGGUGAGUAAUGUCUGGGGAUCUGCCCGAUGGAGGGGGAUAACUACUGGAAACGGUAGCUAAUACCGCAUAAUGUCGCAAGACCAAAGUGGGGGACCUUCGGGCCUCACGCCAUCGGAUGAACCCAGAUGGGAUUAGCUGGUAGGUGAGGUAAUGGCUCACCUAGGCGACGAUCCCUAGCUGGUCUGAGAGGAUGACCAGCCACACUGGAACUGAGACACGGUCCAGACUCCUACGGGAGGCAGCAGUGGGGAAUAUUGCACAAUGGGCGCAAGCCUGAUGCAGCCAUGCCGCGUGUAUGAAGAAGGCCUUCGGGUUGUAAAGUACUUUCAGCGGGGAGGAAGGGGAUUAAGUUAACAGCUUAGUUCAUUGACGUUACCCGCAGAAGAAGCACCGGCUAACUCCGUGCCAGCAGCCGCGGUAAU